AUUGAACGCUGGCGGAAUGCUUUACACAUGCAAGUCGAACGGUAGAGGGGGCAACCCCUUGAGAGUGGCGAACGGGUGAGUAAUAUAUCGGAACGUGCCCAGUCGUGGGGAUAACGUAGCGAAAGUUACGCUAAUACCGCAUACGAUCUAAGGAUGAAAGCGGGGGAUCGCAAGACCUCGCGCGAUUGGAGCGGCCGAUAUCAGAUUAGGUAGUUGGUGAGGUAAAGGCUCACCAAGCCAACGAUCUGUAGCUGGUCUGAGAGGACGACCAGCCACACUGGAACUGAGACACGGUCCAGACUCCUACGGGAGGCAGCAGUGGGGAAUUUUUGGACAAUGGACGCAAGUCUGAUCCAGCCAUUCCGCGUGCAGGAUGAAGGCCCUCGGGUUGUAAACUGCUUUUGUACGGAACGAAAAGGUUUCUAUUAAUACGAGGAGCUCAUGACGGUACCGUAAGAAUAAGCACCGGCUAACUACGUGCCAGCAGCCGCGGUAAAGUG
rnacentral:rRNA from 1 species